AAUCAACGCUGGCGGCGUGCCUCAGACAUGCAAGUCGAACGAGUUAAAGCUCUCUUCGGAGAGUGUAUAGAGUGGCGCACGGGUGAGUAACACGUAAGUAAUCUACCCUCGAGUGGGGAAUAACGUCCGGAAACGGACGCUAAUACCGCAUAAUGCAGCGGCACCGCAAGGUGACAGUUGUUAAAGGAGAAAUUCGGCUUGAGGAGGAGCUUGCGGCAGGAUUAGCUUGUUGGUAAGGUAACGGCUUACCAAGGCUACGAUCUGUAACCGGUCUUAGAGGACGGUCGGUCACACUGACACUGAAUAACGGGUCAGACUCUACGGGAGGCAGCAGUCGGGAAUUUUGGGCAAUGGGCGAAAGCCUGACCCAGCAACGCCGCGUGAAGGAUGAAGUAUUUCGGUAUGUAAACUUCGAAAGAAUAGGAAGAAUAAAUGACGGUACUAUUUAUAAGGUCCGGCUAACUACGUGCCAGCCGCCGCC
rnacentral:rRNA from 1 species